rnacentral:rRNA from 1 species
GUGCCAGCAGCGGCGGUAAUACGAAGGGACUAGCGUUGUUCGGAAUCACUGGGCGUAAAGCGCACGUAGGCGGACUUUUAAGUCAGGGGUGAAAUCCCGGGGCUCAACCCUGGAACUGCCUUUGAUACUGGAAGUCUUGAGUCCGAGAGAGGUGAGUGGAACUCCGAGUGUAGAGGUGAAAUUCGUAGAUAUUCGGAAGAACACCAGUGGCGAAGGCGGCUCACUGGCUCGGUACUGACGCUGAGGUGCGAAAGCGUGGGA